AUUGAACGCUGGCGGCAGGCUUUACACAUGCAAGUCGAACGAGUGGCGGACGGGUGAGUAAUGCCUGGGAAUCUCCCCUAUGGAGGGGGAUAACUACGGGAAACUGUAGCUAAUCCCGCGUACCAUCGGAUCAGCCCAUGUGGGAUUCGCUAGUUGGUGGGGUAAAGGCUCACCAAGCCGACGAUCUCUAGCUGGUCUGAGAGGAUGACCCGCCACACUGGGACUGAGACACGGCCCAGACUCCUACGGGAGGCAGCAGUGGGGAAUAUUGCGCAAUGGGGGCAACCUGACGCAGCCAUGCCGCGUGAAUGAAGAAGGCCUUCGGGUUGUAAAGUUCUUUCGGUAGGGAGGCGUUAACUACAGAAGAAGCACCGGCUAACUCCGUGCCAGCAGCCGCGGUAAUAC
rnacentral:rRNA from 1 species